rnacentral:tRNA from 1 species
GCGUUGGUGGUUCAGUGGUAAAAUCCUUGCCCCCCAUGCCAGUGACCCAGGUUCAAUUCCUGACCAGUGUA